AGAGGAGGUGAAAUGCCACAUUCUUCCAGGAGGCCCAUCUGUAUCCAGAUCCCCUGAAAGCUACUCAGAAACCUUCAAAGAACCAUCAGAACGCACUUUGAGAACCACUGUGAUAGAUAAGCCUUCAGAGGCAUUUCCCUGCAAUUCUCACCGCACUCUAAUACACUGGCUUUCCGCACAAGGGCAGCUCCAACAAGGAACCCAACCAGAGUUGAGGGAAAUUCAAGUUUGGGCAGUAGACCAGAGGUGCUGACUGGGUCCAUGGCGGCUGCAUUCUUCAGGACCCGCACUGGCCGUCAUUCCAGGACACGAGAAAGACCCCGCCAAACUGUCCCCGAUGGAAGUUUGGCUGUGGUCACCAUGCAUUGCCUCCUAUAGUGCCUGCCUAUCUUCCAUGUCUUAUUCUUCAGCUCUUCUGGCAAUUCUGUAAAUUACCCAAAAUCCUUUCAAUAAAAUCUCCUUAUGAUUAAA
rnacentral:lncRNA from 1 species